CAGCUCCAUUGCACAGCUCAAGUUUCAGCAUCAGCGAACCCUGGACCAGCCAUGAAAGUAACUGCAUCAGUUGAUUUCACGGUGGUUUGCAAACCACACCACAAUGCAGUGGCCUGGAAGUAUCAGUAAUUUUGUUGGCAGUUCUUGGUUCUGGGCCAGCUGAACUCAUCACACCCAGACUCCCUCAUGUACCUGGUGGGCUUGGAAACCAAGACUCCGGAGAGUCACAACUGAGACUAGUCUUAGUGGGUAAGGCUGGAGCUGGAAAAAGUGCCACAGGGAACAGCAUCCUUGGGAAGAAAGUGUUUCACUCCAGCAUCACAACAAAAUCUGUCACCAAGGUCUGUGAGAAAGGGAGUAACACCUGGACUGGGAGAGAAAUUGUGGUCGUGGACACACCUGGUCUUUUCCACACCAAGGUGCCAAAUACUGACACACAAAAGGAGAUUGCUUGUUGCAUCCUCCUGAUGUCCCUGGGGCCUCAUGCACUGUUCUUGGUGGUCCCACUGGGCCAGUACACAAGA